rnacentral:rRNA from 1 species
AGCGAACGCUGGCGGCAGGCUUAACACAUGCAAGUCGAGCGGUCGUAGCAAUACGGCAGCGGCAGACGGGAGAGUAACACGUGGGAACGUACCCUUCAGUGCGGAACAACCAAGGGAAACUUUGGCUAAUACCGCAUACGCCCGAAAGGGGAAAGAUUUAUCGCUGAAGGAUCGGCCCGCGUCUGAUUAGCUAGUUGGUGAGGUAACGGCUCACCAAGGCGACGAUCAGUAGCUGGUCUGAGAGGAUGAUCAGCCUCACUGGGACUGAGACACGGCCCAGACUCCUACGGGUGGCAG